UUACUGCACACUUGCAACAUUAUAGCUUUCAUUUUCGUAGGGGCAUUCACACCGAUAGAGGCCACAGGGUUUGGCAUUAAAUGAAUGAAAAUGUUGAAAGAAACAAACAAAAUAGUCAUAAAACCUGUAAAUGUGUAAGAAAAAACUAUUUAGGGGUAGCAUCCCAAAGACUGAGGUUUAACCUAAACUAGUUAACUAGCAUGAAAUGUCACCCACCAACAACUUGUGUAAAGCAAACUGUUAGCUUAGUCAGCAAAGACCCUUCGUUGUUAGAUGCGUUAUAUUAUAACAUUUUGGAACUUUCACUACUUUAUAGAAAUAAACUACUAGGGACGUAAAUCAGCCUUAUUCAGUAGCAAUAAAUCAGGCACUGCUCAAAAACAUACAUGUAGGUAAUAUGCAUACAGUACAUGUUUGCCUGUUUUGAAAAUGUCAUAUUUGUUUUUCAUUAGUGACAGGCUAGCUUUACAUAGGUUGACAUACUUUCCAUGCAUUCAGCUGCAGACUUACUACAAGUUGGAUGUGGUGGCUUUUUCAGUUUUGAUGUCACUUGAAUGCAGCAAAGACUUGCUCCAUUUCCAGCAAUAUUGCAUAUGACUCAUCAAAGCCCGUUUACAGGCUUUAGUGUCUCCAGAGGGAGUGUGUGAAUAAAUGUCCUCAAGUGAUGUCACUUGAUUUGAAAAAUGACAAAAUCUGGAGGUGUGGAGUUAGGCCACUGUAGCCCGCUCCUUAUCUUUGCUCAAGGCUAUAUUAGCUACUACUAGCGUAACACAUGACUAAACUGUCUUCAGUCAGAGUUGCAUUGUGGGUAAUGUACAGUAGGUGGCAGAUUUUAACAAAGGAAGGAGAAGAAAGAAGAAUGCGUUGAAUAAAAAGGACAAUAUCUCUGGUUUUGUAUCCUUUUUGUUUUAAACUGUCCAAAAAC